rnacentral:tRNA from 1 species
AAAGUUAGUCUCACCAAGACA